rnacentral:rRNA from 1 species
CCUACGGGAGGCUGCAGUGGGGAAUAUUGGACAAUGGAGGAAACUCUGAUCCAGCCAUGCCGCGUGAUAGAUGAAGGCCCUCUGGGUUGUAAAUAUCUUUUAUCUGGGAAGAAACACUCCUAUUCUUAGGAACUUGACGGUACCAGAGGAAUAAGCACCGGCUAACUCCGUGCCAGCAGCCGCGGUAAUACGGAGGGUGCAAGCGUUAUCCGGAUUCACUGGGUUUAAAGGGUGCGUAGGCGGGCUGAUAAGUCAGUGGUGAAAGCUCCGAGCUUAACUUGGAAACUGCCAUUGAUACUGCCAGUCUUGAAUGUCGUAGAGGUAAGCGGAAUGUUGCAUGUAGCGGUGAAAUGCUUAGAUAUGUUACAGAACACCAAUUGCGAAGGCAGCUUACUAUGCGAUGAUUGACGCUGAGGCACGAAAGCGUGGGGAGCAAACAGGAUUAGAUACCCCUGUAGUC